UACGUAGGGGGCAAGCGUUGUCCGGAUUUAUUGGGCGUAAAGAGCGCGCAGGCGGUCGUGCAAGUCGCGUGUGAAAGCCCCCGGCUCAACUGGGGAGGGUCACGCGAUACUGCUCGACUCGAAGGCAGGAGAGGGAAGUGGAAUUCCCGGUGUAGUGGUGAAAUGCGUAGAUAUCGGGAGGAACACCAGUGGCGAAGGCGACUUCCUGGCCUGUUCUUGACGCUGAGGCGCGAAAGCUAGGGUAGCAAACGGG
rnacentral:rRNA from 1 species